rnacentral:rRNA from 1 species
UACGUAGGGUGCGAGCGUUGUCCGGAAUUAUUGGGCGUAAGGAGCUCGUAGGCGGUGUGUCACGUCGGCCGUGAAAACCUGCAGCUUAACUGUGGGCGUGCGGUCGAUACGGGCAUCACUGGAGUUCGGCAGGGGAGACUGGAAUUCCUGGUGUAGCGGUGAAAUGCGCAGAUAUCAGGAGGAACACCGGUGGCGAAGGCGGGUCUCUGGGCCGAUACUGACGCUGAGGAGCGAAAGCGUGGGGAGCAAACAGG